GUCGUAACACAACACACACACAACAACAUCACUCGCUGUCCAAUCACAGACAUGCCUCACAGCUACCAGCUCGUGAGACGUUCACUUACAUCCGGAACAUAACAUCCCAGAUAGCAGCUGAUUCCGGGGCGGAUCCGCCCUCAGGUCGCUAGAUCCGCCCUCAGGUCGCCAGGUCGCUAGAUCCGCCCGCAGGUCGCUAGAUGAUUCCGGGGCGGAUCCGCCCUCAGGUCGCUAGAUCCGCCCUCAGGUCGCCAGGUCGCUAGAUCCGCCCGCAGGUCGCUAGAUCCGCCCUACUGCCGCACUCGGUUUGGUCAUGUGAACCGGAUCCACCCGCAUCUGCAUCCGGUUCACACAGCGGCGGUUGUUCUAAAUCGUUGCUCCUCUGACUUCUGCGCCUCGACUUUCCAAACUGGAAUUUUCAAACCUGCAGCUCUUCGCGCCAGACAUAUUACUUAGUUUUACAGAAGUGUUCAUCAGGAUCGAUCUCUACAAUUCAGCAAAACAGUAGCAGUCGUGCCACAAAGCUGGUACAGUGGUGGUGGCUGCGUUUGGCCAGAUUACCCGAGGGAUGAAAGGGUG